UCUUGCUGGGUGUGUCUGUAGAGAACCAUUUUGAAGGAGAGAAGUAUAGCCAAAAAUGUAGAUGCUAAAGUACUAAAAUACUAGAAAUAGAAG